rnacentral:rRNA from 1 species
GAUGAACGCUGGCGGCGUGCCUAAUACAUGCAAGUAGAACGCUGAAGGAGGAGCUUGCUCUUCUGGAUGAGUUGCGAACGGGUGAGUAACGCGUAGGUAACCUGCCUGGUAGCGGGGGAUAACUAUUGGAAACGAUAGCUAAUACCGCAUGACAACAGUUAUUGCAUGAUAACUGUUUAAAAGGGGCAACUGCUCCACUACCAGAUGGACCUGCGUUGUAUUAGCUAGUUGGUGAGGUAACGGCUCACCAAGGCGACGAUACAUAGCCGACCUGAGAGGGUGAUCGGCCACACUGGGACUGAGACACGGCCCAGACUCCUACGGGGGGCAGCAGUAGGGAAUCGUCGGCAAUGGACGGAAGUCUGACCGAGCAACGCCGCGUGAGUGAAGAAGGUUGUCGGAUCGUAAAGCUCUGUUGCAAGAGAAGAACGAGUGUGAGAGUGGAAAGUUCACACUGUGACGGUAGCUUAACAGAAAGGGACGGCUAACUACGUG